UCUUCUCAGUUCCCAAUCACGCUCACGAGGCUGGACCAAGGGGGAAACUGAGGCAGCAAGAUAUUCAAGUCCUUAUCUGAGGCCACACAGUAAAAUGGGCCUUCAAGCAGGCCUGGUGAACCAGGAUCUCUACCCAGGCUUGCCAUUUAUCAAUACCCGCUACCUGCCUCUUCGUGAACUACAGAAGAAAAUCUACUUUCUGUAGGCAGUGGGAGAUCUUGGUUUGCCUUCAUUAGGGAGAUACAGGGCCUCACGCAGAUCUGGGACAUCACCUGAGGCCCUCCGGAGGGACCAUCGGCAUGCACAUGGAACCCUGUGUCUCAUGGGAAGCUUCUUUGUCUUAGCCCCGUGGUCCCAAAGGGAUCAGGUUCCCUCCCCAGAUGACUCCCAGUGCCUGGCUGAGCAGGAGGGAAGUCUAGAGCUGACAUGCUGAUCCUUCAACUGAGGCCGUGUAAACUGCUCAUUCCUUCACCAUGAGUUUCAGGAAAUACUGUAGAGUGUCUGACAACACCCUGGCUGGCAAUCCUGGAUGCAGAGAGAGGAGCUGGGGCUUCCUGUUCACCAGAGCCCUGAACUAAAAGCCUAUAUGGCACUGUCCGUUCAAGGGCUUCUGGGCAUCCAGUCUCAGCCCCACCCAGAGCCUGCAUGGCUCCUCCUCGCCUUUGUCGUCGGAUGAGGUCUUCCACUCUGGCCUUGUGUGAGCAGAGGGGCUUCAGAUCACCUGCAUGUUCACUGGUUAUGGUUGUCCAGACUCCGAUUUGGGGGCUGGGGAUAUAGCAUAAGUAGUUGGUAGGAGGCCCUGGGCUCAUCUAUAGUUCCACAAAAGAAAGCCCACAAAUUGUGUGACCUCAUCCUAUAUUUGAAAAUUCAGUCUCUGUGGCUGGAAUCGAGACCUCUCGGCAUAUUUAUCAGUUCCUUAUGCAACUUUGAAGACCACUGAUUUAAAGGAAGAGCUGCAUUUCUCCCUAGCUCUUUCUUGCCCUCACAGGACCUUCCUUCAUGCUCACUCUUCAUGUUAAUAACUAUCUGAGAACUAAUUAAUUGGUCUCCUUAUUGCCAAAUCACACUAAUGUAAUUAAGCCUUGACAUUGCA